GCGUUUGUAGCUCAGCUGGAUAGAGCAGCGGUUUCCUAAACCGUUGGUCGGGGGUUCAAAUCCCUUCAGGCGCACCA
rnacentral:tRNA from 1 species